UGUUUUUUGCUUCACACACUUUUCUAUAACGAGGUAAGUUCGCUGAUUUAUUCUCAGUCUUAGGGGAAGAUUGCAAGGUUAUGAGUGCUCUCGAAGUUUUGUAAAGCCUACAUUGCAAAAUCAAUAAGUUGCAGUUUCUUCUGUCUCUUGUGGUCAUUUUUCCUUCCCCAGAGCUUACUUGAACCCGGUGUUGAUAUUCUACAGAAAAUGCUCAACUGUGCCAGAAAAAAAAAUGCCCUCAAGACUGGAAAUGGGGCCCAGAGAGGCAGGUGAAACAGCAACCAGCUCAAACAAAAGAGCAGUGAGGUGUGAGACGGUUGGACUUCAGGGUGUGCCGGGCUCAUCUGUCAGGCUGUACUUGAACCAAAUGAUUGUUUGAGCUUUAUUUCAAUCGACUGGAGCUCAAACCGCAAUCAUCCAGGCUUGCAGAGACUCGUCUUUUAGUUCAUUGAUAGGACAGGAACUCAGUUCCUCAUUUAAGGAAAUUGAUCAAACAGGAAAGGUAGAACAGGGAGUGCUUUCCAAGCUCUGGGACCUGUCUGAAUCUUGUGAACUUCAUCCCAUAAACUUUUAACAACAUCAUUCAUUCUGUUGACCUGCACUUCUGCUAUACAUACCCUCACACCUUAAUACAUAACAGGAUGUGCACACAAAUACCUCCCAGCUAUUUCAGAACUCUGUCUUUUAGAUUAUGUGUCUGCAUUUUAUUUGAGAAACCCUUUUAAAUCUUGUUUAAACUGAUGGGAUUUUAAUUUUCUAGCACUAAAUGCUCCCUCUUUAUUUGAUCAUAUUUGCUCUCUCUCUUAUAACUAUUGUCAGGAGUGAAGCUUGGGGCUUUUUUUUUCCUCCAUUGAAGAGGAUUGGAUGUUGUAUUGAACAGGAAAUGGGAAAAGAGUGAGGAGUGACAUGCUUAAGAGGAGCUGCAGGCUAGAAUCAAACCUAGGCUCCAUUUUUGGGGCACACUUGGGCCAGCAGCACCCCAUCCAGGGGGAGGUUUGGUAAAAUGAGGGCCAGAAGAUCACAACCACCUUGCAAUAGUCUUUUAGUCUGUCUAUUUUGUACAGAGAUUUCUCCGGAUUGAACAAUAUUACUGUCAUUUGGUAAUGAAAUCUCAUAUUCUUUGCAGGUCAAUGCAUUAUGUAGAAAGAGUUCAGCUCUCUGCUCAUGCAGUCUCCCACAGAAUGGUUCACCUCUUUCUGUCAGUGCCUUCAAGAGACUAACCUCUGUGGAGUUUCCGUUUUUUUCUCAGUCGUGAAAUUUACCUGUUGCAAAUAAACAUGAUCAGAAUACCAUAA